GAUUCAACCACGGGGUGCCUUACUUUCAGGCUGAGAUCAAACCCGUAGAACCUGGACCAGGUAAUGCUGGUUAGGAAAUGGUAGGUCCGAAACGG
rnacentral:ncRNA from 2 species